AGUGAACGCUGGCGGUAGGCCUAACACAUGCAAGUCGAACGGCAGCACAGUAAGAGCUUGCUCUUACGGGUGGCGAGUGGCGGACGGGUGAGGAAUACAUCGGAAUCUACUUUUUCGUGGGGGAUAACGUAGGGAAACUUACGCUAAUACCGCAUACGACCUACGGGUGAAAGCAGGGGAUCUUCGGACCUUGCGCGAUUGAAUGAGCCGAUGUCGGAUUAGCUAGUUGGCGGGGUAAAGGCCCACCAAGGCGACGAUCCGUAGCUGGUCUGAGAGGAUGAUCAGCCACAUUGGAACUGAGACACGGUCCAGACUCCUACGGGAGGCAGCAGUGGGGAAUAUUGGACAAUGGGCGCAAGCCUGAUCCAGCCAUACCGCGUGGGUGAAGAAGGCCUUCGGGUUGUAAAGCCCUUUUGUUGGGAAAGAAAAGCAGCAGGCUAAUACCCCGCUGUUCUGACGGUACCCAAAGAAUAAGCACCGGCUAACUUCGUG
rnacentral:rRNA from 1 species